rnacentral:rRNA from 1 species
AGGAUGAACGCUGGCGGCGUGCUUAACACAUGCAAGUCGAACGAUGAUGCCAGCUUGCUGGUGGAUUAGUGGCGAACGGGUGAGUAACACGUGAGUAACCUGCCCUUGACUCUGGGAUAAGCCUGGGAAACUGGGUCUAAUACCGGAUAUGACUGAUCAUCGCAUGGUGGUUGGUGGAAAGCUUUUGUGGUUUUGGAUGGACUCGCGGCCUAUCAGCUUGUUGGUGGGGUAAUGGCCUACCAAGGCGACGACGGGUAGCCGGCCUGAGAGGGUGACCGGCCACACUGGGACUGAGACACGGCCCAGACUCCUACGGGAGGCAGCAGUGGGGAAUAUUGCACAAUGGGCGGAAGCCUGAUGUAGCGACGCCGCGUGAGGGAUGACGGCCUUCGGGUUGUAAACCUCUUUCAGUAGGGAAGAAGCGUAAGUGACGGUACCUGCAGAAGAAGCGCCGGCUAACUACGUGCCAGCAGCCGCGGUAAUACGUAGGGCGCAAGCGUUAUCCGGAAUUAUUGGGCGUAAAGAGCUCGUAGGCGGUUUGUCGCGUCUGCCGUGAAAGUCCGGGGCUCAACUCCGGAUCUGCGGUGGGUACGGGCAGACUAGAGUGAUGUAGGGGAGACUGGAAUUCCUGGUGUAGCGGUGAAAUGCGCAGAUAUCAGGAGGAACACCGAUGGCGAAGG